GCAGUAUUGUUCAUUGUCUGUGUCGCAUGAUCGGCAGUUCCUGCAACAUCCAACAACACAACCAACGCCAACAAUUUCUCCGACUGUGAACUUGGUUACAUCUGAUCCCACUUCCACCACCUCACCAACCACUUCAUGCCUGUAAACCAAAUUAAUAAAUCACAGUGCCAAAGGAGCAAGGGGCAUCAAGAAUUAUAACAUGCGGAUAAAGAAAGAGCCUUGGCAAUAGUAAACGAGAGGGUUUUUAAGUACCCAGGAACCAUCGGGUAGUUUGACAUGCCAAGAUCAUUUUUGGCUUGAUGAAGAUCAGUGUGGCAGAUUCCACAGCAGAUAACCUUGAUAAAAACAUCAUCUGGACCUGUGUUCCUGCAAUUAUUAUCAUCAUAGACAGAAUAC
rnacentral:lncRNA from 1 species